UCUCCGUUGGUGAACCAGCGGAGGGAUCAUUACCGAGUGCAAACUCAUAACCCUUUGUGAACCUACAUCUGUUGCUUCGGCGGCUCGCUCUCGGGCGAGCCCGCCGGUAAUAUCAGUAUCUCUGUUUGAACCCGACGAUACUUCUGAGUGUUCUUAGCGAACAGUUAAAACUUUUAACAACGGAUCUCUUGGCUCUAGCAUCGAUGAAGAACGCAC
rnacentral:misc_RNA from 1 species